CAAGGCGUGUCUGAGCUCGUGUUGUGAAAUGUUGGGUUAAGUCCCGCAACGAGCGCAACCCUUAUCCUUUGUUGCCAGCGGUUCGGCCGGGAACUCAAAGGAGACUGCCAGUGAUAAACUGGAGGAAGGUGGGGAUGACGUCAAGUCAUCAUGGCCCUUACGAGUAGGGCUACACACGUGCUACAAUGGCGUAUACAAAGAGAAGCGACCUCGCGAGAGCAAGCGGACCUCAUAAAGUACGUCGUAGUCCGGAUUGGAGUCUGCAACUCGACUCCAUGAAGUCGGAAUCGCUAGUAAUCGUAGAUCAGAAUGCUACGGUGAAUACGUUCCCGGGCCUUGUACACACCGCCCGUCACACCAUGGGAGUGGGUUGCAAAAGAAGUAGGUAGCUUAACCUUCGGGAGGGCGCGACCAUCCA
rnacentral:rRNA from 1 species